CUCAGUGCUCGCUCAGCAGCACUAAAAUCGGAAUGAUACAGAGAAGAUUAACAUAGCCCCUGAGCAAGGGUGACACACAAAUUCGUGAAGCGUUCCAUAUUUUU